rnacentral:rRNA from 1 species
AGGCUGACGGUACCAUCAGAAGAAGCACCGGCUAACUACGUGCCAGCAGCCGCGGUAAUACGUAGGGUGCGAGCGUUAAUCGGAAUUACUGGGCGUAAAGCGUGCGCAGGCGGUUAUGUAAGACAGAUGUGAAAUCCCCGGGCUCAACCUGGGAACUGCGUUUGUGACUGCAUAACUAGAGUACGGCAGAGGGAGGUGGAAUUCCGCGUGUAGCAGUGAAAUGCGUAGAUAUGCGGAGGAACACCGAUGGCGAAGGCAGCCUCCUGGGCCAGUACUGACGCUCAUGCACGAAAGCGUGGGGAGCAAACAGGAUUAGAUACCCCUGGUAGUCCACGCCCUAAACGAUGUCAACUAGUUGUUCGGUGAGGAGACUCAUUGAGUAACGCAGCUAACGCGUGAAGUUGACCGCCUGGGGAGUACGGCCGCAAGGUUAAAACUCAAAGGAAUUGACGGGGGAC